CAGUGGUCCCCAAAAAAUUGG
rnacentral:piRNA from 1 species